rnacentral:rRNA from 1 species
CAAUAGCGUAUAUUAAAGUUGUUGCAGUUAAAAAGCUCGUAGUUGAAUUUCUGUCAGGAGUGACCGGGCCUUUGGAUGAACUUCCAUUGUUUUUUGCUCUGUUUGUCAUCUCUAGACAUCCUGAAAUAUUUUUUAAAAAUAUUUCUCUUUUACUGUUAGCAAAAUAGAGUGUUCCAAGCAAAGCGUAGUUUUGAAUACAUUAGAAUGGAAUAAUAAGAUAGGACUUUGGUGCUAUUUUGUUGGUUUGCACACCAAGGUAAUGAUUAAUAGGGACAGUUGGGGGUAUUCGUAUUUAAUUGUCAGGGGUGAAAUUCUUGGAUUUAUGAAAGACGAACUACUGCGAAAGCAUUUACCAAGGAUGUUUUCAUUAA